rnacentral:rRNA from 1 species
AGAGUUUGAUCCUGGCUCAGGAUGAACGCUGGCGGCAUGCCUAAUACAUGCAAGUCGAACGAGGAUCCUUCGGGAUCCUAGUGGCGAACGGGUGAGUAACACGUAGGGAACCUGCCCGCGCACCGGGAAUACGCUCUGGAAACGGAGAACAAAUCCCGAUGUACAGGAAGGAGGCAUCUUCUUUCUGUGAAACAUCCUGUAAGGGAUGGGGCGCGGAUGGACCUGCGGUGCAUUAGUUGGUUGGCGAGGGUAAAGGCCCACCAAGACGAUGAUGCAUAGCCGGCCUGAGAGGGCGGACGGCCACAUUGGGACUGAGACACGGCCCAGACUCCUGCGGGAGGCAGCAGUAGGGAAUUUUCGUCAAUGGGCGCAAGCCUGAACGAGCGAUGCCGCGUGAGUGAAGAAGGCCUUCGGGUCGUAAAGCUCUGUUGCGGGGGAAAAAAGGCAACUACAGGAAAUGGUAGAUGACAGAUGGUGCCCCGCCAGAAAGUCACGGCUAACUACGUGCCAGCAGCCGCGGUAAUACGUAGGUGGCGAGCGUUAUCCGGAAUGAUUGGGCGUAAAGGGUGCGCAGGCGGUCCUGCAAGUCUGGAGUGAAACGUAUGAGCUCAACUCAUGCAUGGCUCUGGAAACUGGAGGACUGGAGAGCAGGAGAGGGCGGUGGAACUCCAUGUGUAGCGGUAAAAUGCGUAGAUAUAUGGAAGAACACCAGUGGCGAAGGCGGCCGCCUGGCCUGUUGCUGA